rnacentral:rRNA from 1 species
AGAGUUUGAUCCUGGCUCAGAACGAACGCUAGCGGCGCAUUUUAAGCAUGCAAGUCGAACGCGUAUCAGCAAUGGUGCGAGUGGCAAACGGGUGCGUAACACGUGGCUAACCUGUCCAAGGCUUGGGGAUAACCUUCAGAAAUGAGGGCUAAUACCGAAUAAGUCUUACGAGAGAAAGGAGCAAUCCGGCGGUGGAGGGG